rnacentral:lncRNA from 10 species
GUAAAAGAUUCAUGACCCAACUUUGCACUCUCUACUGCUUGCUUUCUCAUAAAACCAGUGCAAAUCCUAUCAAAAAUUUAGCAGAAUCCCUGCCUCAUCUGUUUAGGCCUGAAGCUAGUUGCAGGGACAACUCAUUAGGGACAAGCUCAUUAAAACCAGCCCUUGGGCAAAAGCAGUUUGCGGCCUCCUCAUUUUUAUUCACUCUCACCUCCCUGCCCAACCUCCUUGAGCCCUGAGACACAGGGCUUCUAAUAAUUUUGUACAGCAUGCAGGGAAGGCUGUGCUGGGAGACGGACUGCUGCUGGAGAAGGCAGAGGAGGGAAUCCAGAAGGCUGGCCAGCUUCUCGCUUGGGGAUGGCUGGGGAGAACACCUGGCAUUGGAGUAGUCAGGAGACCCCUUAGGACCAAGCCGGAGCUCUGGCAGAACGAAGGCCAAAAGAAGCUGCAGAGAAGUCUUCUACACAGUUCGAAAAUGCCACUUGACACAUUGAAUCCUCUGGGGCAACACCAUAAGGCUGUUGAUUCUGUGUUAUGAUGGCCUGAAAACAGAGAUGACCAUGAAUGCAAAUUCACAAGCUGGGAAGCAGCAGAGAGAGCAAAGGAGCCAUAGUUCCAGGAAUCAACAGAAUGCUUGGGGGAGAUUCCACACAUCACAGAAAAGGCCAUCAGCUGGAGUCUAGGACAGGGCUCUCAAACUAUGGCCCAUAGGCCAGAUUCAGCCAACCAUCUGUUUUGGUAAAUAAAGUUUUAUUAGAACACAGUUACCCCCAUGUGUUUAUGUAUUGUCUGUGACUGCUUUCACACUAAAAUGGCAGAGCUGAGUAGUUGUGACAGAGACCAGA